rnacentral:rRNA from 1 species
UACGUAGGAGGCAAGCGUUGUCCGGAAUCACUGGGCGUAAAGAGCGUGUAGGCGGCCAGGUAGGUCUGCUGUGAAAACUCGAGGCUUAACCUCGAGAUGUCGGCGGAAACCAUCUGGCUAGAGUCCGGAAGAGGAGAGUGGAAUUCCUGGUGUAGCGGUGAAAUGCGCAGAUAUCAGGAGGAACACCGAUGGCGAAGGCAGAUCUCUGGGCCGUAACUGACG